UCGGAUCGCGGCGAUGUGGGCGGUUCGCUGCCUGCGACGUCGCGAGAAGUCCAUUGAACCUUAUCAUUUAGAGGAAGGAGAAGUCGUAACAAGGUUUCCGUAGGUGAACCUGCGGAAGGAUCAUUGUCGUAGCCUUGCGAAAGCAAAACAACUCGUGAACGCGUAUUCUACACUUAGGGAUCCAAGUGAGUCCCCGACGGGGACCCCCUUUCUUCCCAACGUCGCGAAGGAUCGGCACUUGCUCGCUCGUCGGCGAAGUUCUCGUCGCGAAUUAGCGGUUUUCCGAUCCCUCAAGACACAACCAAAACCCGGCGUGAAAUGCGCCAAGGAACAUAAAAGGGAGUGCCCCCGUUCAACGCUGGCUUGCGCUGCGCUUGGACGGGAGUCGUCUUCUUGAUGAGUUUAUAAUGACUCUCGGCAACGGAUAUCUCGGCUCUUACAUCGAUGAAGAACGUAGCAAAAUGCGAUACUUGGUGUGAAUUGCAGAAUCCCGUGAACCAUCGAGUCUUUGAACGCAAGUUGCGCCCGAAUCCUUUUGGUUGAGGGCACGUCUGCCUGGGUGUCACGUACACACGCCUCCCCGCAAGCCCUUCCCUCUAGGGGACGAAGCGCGCGUUGGGCGAGCAGAGAUUGGUAUCCCGUGCCAUUGUCGCGCGGCCUACCUAAAAACAGGGAGCCAGUGAUGAACUUCACGUCUAGUGGUGGUUAAUGAACCCUACGGGUCGACCAGUUCGCGGCGUGGGUGUUUGUCCAUCGGAAGUCCCAUUCGACACCUUGGACGUCCUCUAAUGGGCGUGCUAUUGUCGCGACCCCAGGUCAGGCGGGACCACCCGCUGAAUUUAAGCAUAUCAAUAAGCGGAGGAAGAGAAACUUACAAGGAUUCCCCUAGUAAC
rnacentral:misc_RNA from 1 species